AUUGAACGCUGGCGGCAUGCCUUACACAUGCAAGUCGAACGGUAACGCGGGGCAACCUGGCGACGAGUGGCGAACGGGUGAGUAAUAUAUCGGAACGUGCCCAGUUGUGGGGGAUAACUGCUCGAAAGAGCAGCUAAUACCGCAUACGACCUGAGGGUGAAAGCGGGGGAUCGCAAGACCUCUCGCAAUUGGAUCGGCCAAUAUCAGAUUAGGUAGUUGGUGGGGUAAAGGCCUACCAAGCCGACGAUCUGUAGCUGGUCUGAGAGGACGACCAGCCACACUGGGACUGAGACACGGCCCAGACUCCUACGGGAGGCAGCAGUGGGGAAUUUUGGACAAUGGGGGCAACCCUGAUCCAGCCAUGCCGCGUGCGGGAAGAAGGCCUUCGGGUUGUAAACCGCUUUUGUCAGGGAAGAAAAGACUCCUACUAAUACUGGGGGUUCAUGACGGUACCUGAAGAAUAAGCACCGGCUAACUACGUGCCAGCCGCCGCAGUAA
rnacentral:rRNA from 1 species